AUUGAACGCUGGCGGCAUGCUUUACACAUGCAAGUCGAACGGUAACAGGCCUUCGGGUGCUGACGAGUGGCGAACGGGUGAGUAAUGCAUCGGAACGUACCCAGAGGUGGGGGAUAACGCAGCGAAAGCUGUGCUAAUACCGCAUGUGAUCUGAGGAUGAAAGCGGGGGACCGAGCAGCAAUGUUUGGCCUCGCGCCUUUGUAGCGGCCGAUGUCGGAUUAGCUAGUUGGUGGGGUAAAGGCCUAUCAAGGCGACGAUCCGUAGCUGGUCUGAGAGGACGACCAGCCACACUGGAACUGAGACACGGCCCAGACUCCUACGGGAGGCAGCAGUGGGGAAUUUUGGACAAUGGGCGCAAGCCUGAUCCAGCAAUGCCGCGUGCGGGAAGAAGGCCUUCGGGUUGUAAACCGCUUUUGGCAGGAACGAAACGGUGUCCGCUAAUACCGGGCGCUAAUGACGGUACCUGCAGAAUAAGCACCGGCUAACUACGUG
rnacentral:rRNA from 1 species